rnacentral:lncRNA from 1 species
GCCACACGAUAAUUUUAAGGGUUAAACAAUACAUAUUAUCAUGGACGAGAUUAACUUAAAGGGAACGUUAGAGAUUACGUUUGCCAUUCAUCGAUGUGCGUUGAUUUCUUUUUCUUGUCCUUCUCGUAUGAUCACCCUUUCACUCCUUCCAUCUCCUUGUUGUUUUGGGCCGCAGGCUUGUUUAGCUGUAUCUGCAUCCUGCUCUGUAUAUGUAUCCACACAUAAAGAUGAACCUGAUUCUACACCUCCUCUUAAAGCAGUGACGCCACAACAUCAUUGUCAUUAGCACUAAAUGAAUUUCUGCUUCAUAAGAAGAUAGGUAUUACGUAUAUUACUAGUUUGUAAAAGAGACAUGCGGUGAAAUAGAGCAAUGCAUGCAGUAAUUUACUACUCCGGCCUCUAGACAGGGUGCAACACAGCCAACAAUGAAUCUCAAGUAUAUCUGUAAAUUCAUUUGUAAUGGGUUUUACAUAUUGGUUCUAAGAUUUAAAAUGAGAAAAUAACCUUGCAUAUUUUGUUACUGGAGAUGCAUCCACAGAGAAGCACGGUUAUUCCACCAUUUACAGGACAAUCAUGGAGGCAAUCCUAAACAUGGUUGCAACAGAGCUCCUUACAUCUCCUGAGGC